UACAGAGGUCUCAAGCGUUGUUCGGAUUCAUUGGGCGUAAAGGGUGUGUAGGUGGCGCCGUAAGUCGGGUGUGAAAUUUUCGGAGCUUAACUCCGAAACUGCAUUCGAUACUGCGGUGCUUGAGGACUGGAGAGGAGACUGGAAUUCAUGGUGUAGCAGUGAAAUGCGUAGAGAUGUGGAGGAAUACCGAUGGCGAAGGCAGCCCCCCUGGGAUAACACUGACGCUCAGGCA
rnacentral:rRNA from 1 species